rnacentral:rRNA from 1 species
GACGAACGCUGGCGGCGUGCUUAACACAUGCAAGUCGAACGGUGAAGCGCCUUCCUUUUUGGUGGGUGUGGAUGAGUGGCGAACGGGUGAGUAACACGUGAGCAACCUGCCCCCUUCUUCUGGAUAACCGCAUGAAAGUGUGGCUAAUACGGGAUAUUCUGGGUCUGUCGCAUGAUGGGUCUGGGAAAGAUAUUGUUUCGGUGGGGGAUGGGCUCGCGGCCUAUCAGCUUGUUGGUGGGGUGAUGGCCUACCAAGGCGGUGACGGGUAGCCGGCCUGAGAGGGUGGACGGUCACACUGGGACGGAGACACGGCCCAGACUCCUACGGGAGGCAGCAGUGGGGAAUAUGGCACAAUGGGCGCAAGCCUGAUGCAGCGACGCCGCGUGAGGGAUGGAGGCCUUCGGGUUGUGAACCUCUUUCGCCAGUGAAGCAGGCCUGCCUCGUUUGUGGGUGGGUUGACGGUAGCUGGAUAAGAAGCGCCGGCUAACUACGUG